CUGCAUCGCCUUUGGCUUUUUGUCUUCGAGCUUGUGUUUUGGCAAGAAGCGUGUCUCAUUAAGCAUUUGGGUCUGAGGGGUGUCCAUGAGGCUACCUGGUGGCCAUCCCCAUGAGAUUUUGUGACUGUCAAGUGAUAUUCAGCAUCCAUCUUACGCCUGUCUCCUGUAACUACUCUGCAGUUUUGGCUUAAGGCUUGAUAGCGCAGCAUUAGCUGAGGGCGGCAUUUCCCGCGCUGGCCCCUCCACGCCGACAGCGUUUCCCCUGCCGGCCGCUGUCUGUUCCCUGUAACUGUGACUCUUGUCCUGGCAGAACCUUUGCCAAAGCCACCUUUGUGCUCCACAGCAGUCUGCUUUCUGUCUUGAGUAUGUUUCUUUUCGGUAUCGGCUACCCCAAAGAUGUGUACCGUUCGCUCAGGUCUCUUCUUGAGCUUCUGCAAGAAGAGAGAGCCUUCAUCUGUUUUUAUUGAUGCGUCUCCUGGGGUGUUUUUUUGUUGUCCUUUGCAAUUUAGUUUUGUCCCAGCUACUUAGGUGUUGAUUUAGCUGCUUUGUACAGUUCCCGACAUGCUUGUGUAUUUCCACACUUCUUUUCAUGUUUUUCGUCCUUUGAGACUGAUCAAGUUCCCUUAAGGGACUGAGUGAGAGAGAGCGUUGAGGUGACUCUGAAUGGUUGAUGAUUUCACAGUAAAUGAUUUACUUUACAACUAGAGAUAUUUUGGAGAAGGGGUUCUUAAAAGAUUUGAAUCUGCUUUGACAUUCAGUCUUACCCAGAACGUAGUUCUCGUAGAUGUUAGGUAGUGUGGGCGGUCUUGCUAGAAAUGAAGCAUAACCCCAUAGCAUUUUGAGUUUAUUGUAACUGGGAAGUAAAGCCCGUAGUUUUUGAAAAUAAUACUGUUACUGCAUUUAAUGAGCUGCUUUCCUACAUAGUUUAAUAUGACAUCUAUCUUUGUCUCUCUGUGUGCCAGAAAAAUGAAGUUUAAAUCUCUACGCGGUCACAUUGCUGAUGCAAAAGAUGUAGUUGUAGCAGAAGAGCUGGUAUCGUCGUAUCCAGGAAGGCUCUCUGUGUGUGUUUGGCACGUGGCAUGCUGUAAAGUUAAGGCAGUUGAGAAGACUCCCUGCUCUUCCUAUUUGGGCCACCUUUACACCCUCUGUGGGCUUGGCCUGCCCCUUUCCAGGGGAUUGUGGGAAGGGUGGGGGCGGGGCCAGGGGUAGAUGAGCCCCAGCCUUUGUUCGGGAGGCUCAUUCUGCAACCUGGGCUUCUCUGGUACUGUUACUUGAGUUGGUUACAGGUUUUCAGCUGUCUAAGCUUUUUUGGUAGGUGUGUUUUGGCAUUUAGGGAGGGGGAGGUUUCUGAUUAAGGUGAGAGAUUAAGGAGCAGUAAAGGCUGAGCAGCAUAUAUAUUAGAAAGGACACUUGUAUGCAGCUUUUCUUUUUUCUCGGGUCAGUAACUUGGUGUUGGGUGUUCAGGAGUAGCAAGGUGGUUUAAUAGUGUGUUUUGAUUGUUUGGUUUUGUGUGUGGUUUUUGUGUGUUUGCUUGGGGUUUUUUUGUUUGUGGUUUUUAAUGUGUGUCUUUCGUUUGCUUGUUGUUGGUUGUUUUUGUUGGUUUUAUUAUCCAGGACUUUACCGAAGGUAGAAGUGUACAACAUCUGUGUGCCUCUCUGUAUUUUCCUGGAAGUGGGCCCUGGAUUGAAGGUGACGGUUCCAGAGCCAUUGAAGAUGGACUGAGUAUACGCGCAGGCGCAUGACGCACCCACUGAUCCGGGAGGCAUGUGCUGGGAGGCGAGGGGACUCGUGUUAGCGUGUUAGGGGAAAGGAUGUGUCUGGAAUGUGGCUGUUGGGGUACGGGGAAGAAGAGGGCAGGGUGUUACUGUUUGUCGUCUUUUUGAAGUCUCUGUUGCUGGCUCAGCAUGGCAGAUGAGAGUGAAAAGUAUGGAUCGGCAAGGUUUGCGGAGCAGAGAAGGGAGAAUGGGGAAGGUUUGUUGUUAGUUAAGGUUUUGUCAGCAUCCUGUUGAUCUUGUUUUCUUGUUCCUGCAGAUGCACAGUAGGGAGCCGUAUGCGGAAGAGAGGAGGCGAACAGAGCAUCAUGAGAAGGUGUAAAGCAACUCACAAAAUCAUAAGUGAAGCAGGAUGUCGGCCUCGAGCUCAUCGGGCAAGGCGCCAUAAGUGGAGGUGGCCACCGCAUCCAGGCUUACUAGAGUGGAGCCAGCGGAAGUUCACGGCGCUUCCAAGGAGGGUGUAGUUGCAGAAGAAGUCAGCAUUGAGUGGUGUGAUGCUGACUGAUGGCGCUCCGUGUUCGGAGAUGAUGAAGAGGAUCUGUGUGAUUACAGCAGCAUAUUAGAUGCCGGGGGAGGAGACGUGCAGGGCGACAGAGGAGAGCUGACGACUGCUCUGCAAGCAGGUUUGACACUUUUGGCUUCACUGAGUAAGCGCAAGGUGCAGCAGCAACAGUGGAAGAGCUGUAGCUGUGGUGGUGAAUCGGUAACCAUAGAUUAUUGUUACACUAUAUAGCAUUGCCCUGCAGUCUCAUAGGGUUAUCUCCCUGCAGCAGCGCUGUAAGGAAGGGAUGAGACUUUUUCCGACACCAGCAAGAAUGUUUAGUCUGAUACCAUUUUGAUCAAAUUUUUAAUAUAAAUAGCUGUUAAUAGUGUUUUUAAGUGUUCUA